rnacentral:rRNA from 1 species
GCUUGUCUCAAAGAUUAAGCCAUGCAUGUCUAAGUAUAAGCACUUUAUACUGUGAAACUGCGAAUGGCUCAUUAAAUCAGUUAUCGUUUAUUUGAUAGUACCUUACUACAUGGAUACCUGUGGUAAUUCUAGAGCUAAUACAUGCUAAAAACCCCGACUUCAGGAAGGGGUGUAUUUAUUAGAUAAAAACCAAACGGCUUCGGCCGUCUCAUUGGUGACUCUGAAUAACUUUGGGCUGAUCGUAUGGCCUUGUGCCGACGACGUUUCCUUCGAAGGUGUGCCCUAUCAACUGUCGACUGUGAUAUAGACGCUCACAGUGGUUUUGACGGGUAACGGGGAAUCAGGGUUCGAUUCCGGAGAGGGAGCCUUAAAAACGGCUACCACAUCCAAGGAAGGCAGCAGG